rnacentral:rRNA from 1 species
UACGAAAGGUGCAAGCGUUACUCGGAAUCACUGGGCGUAAAGCGCACGUAGGCGGACUCGCAGGUCAAUUGUGAAAUACCUGGGCUCAACCCGGGAACUGCAGUUGAAACCGCUUGUCUUGAAUACCUGAGAGGGUGGGGGAAUACCUGGUGGAGAAGUGAAAUUCGUAGAGAUCAGGUGGAACACCGGAGGCGAAGGCGCCUGCCUGGCAGUGUAUUGACGCUGAGGUGCGAAAGUGCGGGGAGCAAACGGG